AGCCGGAAUAGCUCAGUUGGUAGAGCAGAGGACUGAAAAUCCUCGUGUCACCA
rnacentral:tRNA from 3 species